UGGGGAAUAUUGCACAAUGGGGGAAACCCUGAUGCAGCGACGCCGCGUGAGCGAAGAAGGCUUUCGUGUCGUAAAGCUCUGUCCUAUGAGAAGAUAAUGACGGUAUCAUAGGAGGAAGCCCUGGCUAAAUACGUGCCAGCAGCCGCGGUAAUACGUAUGGGGCGAGCGUUGUCCGGAAUUAUUGGGCGUAAAGGGUACGUAGGCGGUUUUUUAAGUCAGGUGUCAAAGCGUGGAGCUUAACUCCAUUAAGCACUUGAAACUGAAAGACUUGAGUGAAGGAGAGGAAAGUGGAAUUCCUAGUGUAGCGGUGAAAUGCGUAGAUAUUAGGAGGAAUACCGGUGGCGAAGGCGACUUUCUGGACUUUUACUGACGCUCAGGUACGAAAGCGUGGGGAGCAAACAGG
rnacentral:rRNA from 1 species